rnacentral:rRNA from 1 species
UAAGGAAUAUUGGUCAAUGGACGCAAGUCUGAACCAGCCAUGCCGCGUGAAGGAUUAAGGUCCUCUGGAUUGUAAACUUCUUUUAUCCGGGACGAAAAAGGCGAUUCUUCGUCACUUGACGGUACCAGAUGAAUAAGCACCGGCUAACUCCGUGCCAGCAGCCGCGGUAAUACGGAGGGUGCAAGCGUUAUCCGGAUUCACUGGGUUUAAAGGGUGCGUAGGCGGGCAGGUAAGUCAGUGGUGAAAAUCCCUGGAGCUUAACUCCAGAACUGCCAUUGAUACUAUCUGUCUUGAAUAUUGUGGAGGUAAGCGGAAUAUGUCAUGUAGCGGUGAAAUGCUUAGAUAUGACUAGAACACCUAUUGCGAAGGCAGCUUACUACGCAUAUAUUGACGCUGAGGCACGAAAGCGUGGGGAUCAAACAGGAUUAGAUACCCUGUAGUCCACGCCCUAAACGAUGGAUACUCGACAUACGCGAUACACUGUGUGUGUCUGAGCGAAAGCAUUAAGUAUCCCACCUGGGAAGUACGACCGCAAGGUUGAAACUCAAAUGAAUUGACGGGGUCAUAGCU